CUUUUGGAAUAUUUUUAUUUUUUAUAUAUCGAUGUAUUUGUUUAAAAUCACGUGAGCCACAUUACAAGUUAUUGCCAAAUGCUGAGCGAAAGAAACAGAUGGUGUUCAAAUCAAUAUUGAAAUACAUACGAAAGUUACUUGGUAAUGUAAACGAAGAUAAUGGUCACCCAAUAUCUGACAAAGAUCCUGUUAAAACGACGAAAUUACAUUCUCCCAGUACACUAUCCGUAACAUCCCAUGAAAUGUCUUAUGGAAACAGGAGAAACUUGAUUGAUUCAAAAAAAAGCAGUGUAUACGGAGUAGUGAUAAAAUUUGAGGACGCCUUCAUGGACACAGAGAACAAUGAAGUUGACGUAAAGCAUGUAGAAAUGCAGAAUGCAGAAACUGAAAAGUAAACAAAUAGCCUUGAAUGGUCUCAUGGUAUUGGUUGAUGGAAAUAUUUAUUUUGUCUACAUACUUGAAUAAA